UGCAGCACUAACCAAACUAAAAAGUGACUACAAAACAGCCCUUAAAAUACCUGCAGCCACUAGUAGCUAGCUAAUAUUAGCUCAGAGAUGUCGGAAAGCGUCUGGACAGCAAAACGAGCAACUAAUACAUAAAUACAGAAUGUUACCAGACUGUUUAAAAAACGGCUCUACUUACCUUGGCGAGGUGAAGGUGACCUAAGGCCAUUCUAAUAGAUUGACACCGACAGCAGGCUGACAGUGUUUCUGCACGGAUCCUCCACUUGUAUGUUGGUGAGCGGACCUUGGCACACCCAGGCAGCGCCCACGCAGAGCAGUGCAGAAUGCCAGCCGGGAACAUCCUGUCUUAGGCGACAGGAACAUCAGAUGCGACAGAUGGCUCAUAAAUCAUGAAGACUGAAGCAGAAUUAGACCUAAUGGACCAAAAAGCAUCGGUGCACCUUUGGAUCCUUAAAGUCUAUUUUGGGGAUGCAACACCAUUCUUCUGAAAGGCUUUAAUUACCUGGUCCCACCUGUAGCGCAAUCUUGUCUGCUGAUUGGCUCCCAGUGUUCUGCCACCUAACUGGGGAUUGGCCUUUUGUCUCAUUAUUAGAGCAGGAUAAGUAACAGCAUUAUAAUAAAAUUAUGCACAAGUAUAUGAUGACCUUUCUCCGAUGGGUGCCCUCUCCCUCCCUCCCAGCUUUCCUCUCCCUUAGCGACAGGGUGAGGACUUUGGCCAUCCGGGAGCGGCUCAGAGUAGACCCGUGACUCCUCUACAUCAAAGG